rnacentral:tRNA from 1 species
CAAUAUAGCUCAGUUGGCAGAGCAGCAGUUUCGUAAACUGCAGGUCAAGGGUUCGAAUCCCUUUAUUGG